ACAGCCCAUACCUGGGAUCUUUUCGGUUC
rnacentral:piRNA from 1 species